ensembl:lncRNA
CUUUAUCUUAGUGUUCUUGCUAUAAAAAUUCUGUUGCUUUUUAAACUAUUGAAUGUCUCUGUCCAGGGGAGAGUCACAAAUGAGAUAGUAGACUAUGAAGGGAAGUACUUUUUUGAGGGAAUGAAUCUACCAUGGAAGCCUUCCUCAAUGUCAGGACCAGAUCAAGCCCCCACUGUUACAGGUUGAAAUUACAUGCUGAGGUGAUGUGUAUCUCUAAUCACAGCAAGGUCCAUGUGUGCCACCAAACUGAGUUUCAUAAGAAAUCUGGGACUGUCUGUCUUGUUCACCACUAAAACCUGAGCUCACAGCGUAAGACUUGGCAGAGAGUAAGUGUUGCACAAAUUUUCAUUAAACUGUUGAAUAAUCUGGAGUGAAGGAGGAGAUAACUCUAACAGCAGGAGGGUUCUGGUAUCAAGGGGUGGGGGUAGAUAAUGAAUGGACAAAUGUGGGAAAUGGCUGCAAGUAGUUCUUCAAAUAGUUGAUUGGAGCAGUGAUGCUUGAAUAUUGUUGUGGAACCCAUUGGAUCUUUGUGCUUUGACUAAAUUUUAAGUAGACGUUGAGCUGGGAACCCAUUCUGGGAUAGUAGUAAUAUGAACAUAAUGAACAAUGGGGAAAAACACCACCUCUGCAUGUGGUUAGCACUAUUUGCAUCCACCUGGAUGCUCUUUACAUAAUUCUUGCUUAUCGCCUCUCCAUAUUCCCUAGACAUGAACUGAAUGUAGUUCUGACUCACUACAGAGGGGGGCUCUGUUACCAUGGUGAGGACAGGGCUUUGUAAAGUUCUGUGCCUGUCUGUGCUGCACUGGGUUAGAGGUUCCCUACAGAACCAGCAGGCUUGCUUGAAGAAAACAAAUAAGUUAAAAAUAACAAGCGGGGAAUCCUGGCACAUUUUUGGCACUCCAGAAAGAGGGAUAAUGUCAUUAGGGUCACUGUCUCAAUUUAUCUUCUCCAGAGAAGGACACAAGGAAACUGUAAGCAAGGCUUAUCUAAAUCUCUGCAUGACCCAAGCACCAGAAGUUGGUAGAAGGCAAUUAGCUUUGCAAAUUGACAUCAGUGGGGGAAAAAAAAAAACUUUUGUAAGAUAGAUUCAUAGGCCAGAAGGAGACCUUUAAGGCCAGUGACCUAGCUUUCUUCUUUUACAGAUGAGGAAACAGACCUAGAGUGAGUUGACUUGUUCAAGGUGACACCAUUAACUACUGAUAGAGCUGUGAUAUGAUUACUUAAACCUCUGCUCAAACUUGUAUUAGCCUACAAACCAUAUAAGGAUAUUAAAAAUGUAGAUGCUGAUUCAGGAGAUCAGAGACCUAGCCUGAGAAUCUGCAUUCUCACAUUGCACUUUUGUGCACUUUGGUGAUACGUUGACAGUCUUGUUUCCUGGGCAAUACUGAUUUCUUAGGUAGCAGGGACCUAAUUCUAACCCAUUCCGGACUACCUCUUUCAGACAAUAUGCUAGGUUAAGGCAAGGAAGAAGGUUCUAGAUCAGUCAUACACAAGCUCUCACUGGAUCAUGCUGAGACUGCUCACUAAAUAGGGGAUGUACUAUAAGGUCAGGUUUAUGGGCUCUGACUGUUUAGAUCUUGCCUUCACCAGAUCCUGUCACUGUUUUCUUCUCCCAUGGGGCGGGGUCCUGGAAAGAUGGGAUACCUGUUACUUAUGUAAAGAAAAAUUGUGAAAGACUCACAAUGGAUUGUGUGAAUCUCUGGAGUCUCCUCUCAUUUUCUUUGAGCUGCCUUUUUUUUUUUUUAAAUCUAAAUUGUGGAACUCUUAAGUGUACUACAAAUGAUUCUUGUCUAUAAAAAUGCAAAUGAAAAAAAUGUAAAUAAUAUGUAUCUCAUGGAAUGCGACUAUUGCCAGGUGGAUAUUGACCAUAUCUAUCUGUAAAUUCAUUUCAGCAUUCCUGAUGGUCUAUGUGUUUCUUUGAGUUCUCCUUUGAAUUGAUUGUAACAUCAUAUUGUGUCACUAAUAAGUAUUUGACACAUGCUUAUUUUAUCUGUGAACAAGAAGUAUAAUUUUUAUCCUUUCAAAAUUAUUGUUCUUAAAAAAUCACUUAAUUUAAAUAUCUUCUCCAAAAGUGGGGAGAUUGAA